CCAAGCGUCCAUAAGAGACAGUCAUUUGUCAUUUUUUUAUCAAGAAACAGGGUUUGUUAUACUGUUAGCAAUGUCAACUUUAGAUUCACAGUGCAUUUUCAAAAAUAGUAAUAA